GCCGGGUGCGGUGGCUCACACCUGUAAUCCCAGCAUUUGGGAGGCUGAGGCGGGUGGAUCACCUGAGGUCAGGAGUUCUAGACCAGCCUGGCCAACAUGGUGAAACCCUGCCUCUA
rnacentral:SRP_RNA from 2 species